rnacentral:rRNA from 1 species
UACGUAGGGGGCAAGCGUUGUCCGGAAUCAUUGGGCGUAAAGAGCGUGUAGGCGGCCGGGUAAGUCCGGUGUGAAAACUCGGGGCUUAACCUCGAGAUGUCAUCGGAAACUAUUCGGCUAGAGUCCGGAAGAGGAGAGUGGAAUUCCUGGUGUAGCGGUGAAAUGCGCAGAUAUCAGGAAGAACACCUAUGGCGAAAGCAGCUCUCUGGGACGGUACUGACGCUGAGACGCGAAAGCGUGGGGAGCGAACAGG